UAUUUUUAUUAUUAUUUAUAGAGUUUCAUUUCCAGUAUCAUUUCUUCGGAAACACAUGCAGUUUAAAUGUAAUCAUAUCGUUCAGUCUGUGUUAUAUCUACAAAAAUGGAAAAGUUAGAUUAUGUAUAACAACGGAACUUGAUCUGGAGCAUUGCUUACAAAUGACGAAGAAAAUACCAGAGAAAGACUAACAUUUCCUGGUGCAUUAUUAUUACCACCAGCAGCUGUACGUCAAAUGCACUCGGUUCGAUAUCCAGGAAGAGAGUAACGACGCCGGAUGUGAUAGCGCGCUCCGAUAUCCGUUGCUAUUUUCAAACUGUGAUAUAACAACUGUCAGAAAUUAAAGUAUCUGGCAUGCCGGGAAGAUAUUAAAGUAUUGUACGUACAUAGAUAUGGAUCUCAUCCCUUAGCUGCCAAUGAACAUUUAGGUCAGAGAUUGCUCCAGGAGAUGAGAAAUAUUUCUGCAGCAGACAUGCUAUUAACGGACGUCCACAAAGACUUGAUAUAAACCGCCACGACAUUUUUAUAGCAGGGAUAUGAGAUUUCUGUUUUUAUAUAUCAACGUUCAGAUGAAUUUUUUAUUCUUCUAUUCAUACUACCGGUGCUUUAUGUUACAGUAGAACUUAUGGGCUACAGUAUCGUAGGUUACGAGGAAUGAGUAACGUGGUCAGAUCAGGUUUUGCGACACGGAACUCUACACUAUACGAAC